rnacentral:rRNA from 1 species
AUUGAACGCUGGCGGCAUGCUUUACACAUGCAAGUCGAACGGUAACAGGCCGCAAGGUGCUGACGAGUGGAGAACGGGUGAGUAAUGCAUCGGAACGUGCCCAGUCGUGGGGGAUAACGCAGCGAAAGCUGCGCUAAUACCGCAUACGAUCUAUGGAUGAAAGCGGGGGACCGUAAGGCCUCGCGCGAUUGGAGCGGCCGAUGUCAGAUUAGGUAGUUGGUGGGGUAAAGGCUCACCAAGCCAACGAUCUGUAGCUGGUCUGAGAGGACGACCAGCCACACUGGGACUGAGACACGGCCCAGACUCCUACGGGAGGCAGCAGUGUGGAAUUUUGGACAAUGGGCGCAAGCCUGAUCCAGCAAUGCCGCGUGCAGGAAGAAGGCCUUCGGGUUGUAAACUGCUUUUGUACGGAACGAAACGGUCCUGGUUAAUACCCGGGGCUAAUGACGGUACCGUAAGAAUAAGCACCGGCUAACUACGUGCCAGCCGCCGCCGUAACAC